rnacentral:rRNA from 1 species
CUGGCUUGACUAUGAAAGACUCCCCGUCCGCUCUCCCAUAGUCAAGCUGCGAAGCGCUGGAUUAGUAGUUGGGUCGGUGACGACCAGCGAAUCCCCGGUGUUGUAUGUU